GACGAACGCUGGCGGCGUGCUUAACACAUGCAAGUCGAACGAUGAUGAAGGGUGCUUGCACUUUUUGGAUUAGUGGCGAACGGGUGAGUAACACGUGAGUAACCUGCCCUUGGCUCUGGGAUAAGCGCUGGAAACGGCGUCUAAUACUGGAUAUAACUUCUUGCCGCAUGGUGGGGGGUGGAAAGCUUUUUGCGGCCUUGGAUGGACUCGCGGCCUAUCAGCUUGUUGGUGAGGUAGUGGCUCACCAAGGCGACGACGGGUAGCCGGCCUGAGAGGGUGACCGGCCACACUGGGACUGAGACACGGCCCAGACUCCUACGGGAGGCAG
rnacentral:rRNA from 1 species